rnacentral:rRNA from 1 species
AGAGUUUGAUCCUGGCUCAGGAUGAACGCUAGCGACAGGCCUAACACAUGCAAGUCGAGGGGCAGCACGAGGUAGCAAUACUUUGGUGGCGACCGGCGCACGGGUGCGUAACGCGUAUGCAACCUACCUGUAAUUGGGGGAUAGCCUUCCGAAAGGAAGAUUAACACCGCAUAAGACAAUAGAUCCGCAUGGAUUAGUUGUUAAAUAUUUAUAGAUUACGGAUGGGCAUGCGUCUGAUUAGAUAGUUGGUAGGGUAACGGCCUACCAAGUCUGCGAUCAGUAGGGGUUCUGAGAGGAAGGUCCCCCACACCGGAACUGAGACACGGUCCGGACUCCUACGGGAGGCAGCAGUGAGGAAUAUUGGUCAAUGGGCGAGAGCCUGAACCAGCCAAGUCGCGUGAAGGAAGAAUGUCCUAUGGAUUGUAAACUUCUUUUGUAGGGGGAUAAAAAAGAGUACGUGUACUCUCUUGUAGGUACCCUACGAAUAAGGAUCGGCUAACUCC